GCUUACGGCCACACCGCCUGGUUCACGCCUGAUCUCGGAAGCUAAGAUAGGUUGGGCCUGGUUAGUACUUGGAUGGGAGACGGCCUGGGAAUACCAGGUGCUGUAAGCU
ensembl:rRNA 5S_rRNA 5S ribosomal RNA